CUGGGUUGAAUGGCACUUUUCCAUGAUCAGCAGGCUGUGGAUUUCACAAUGGAUAAGUCCUGGAAGAAGGGAAAGAUGCAGGCAAGCCGCUUCUGUUGUUCUCUCUUUGUACUACCCCC
rnacentral:miRNA from 1 species